rnacentral:lncRNA from 1 species
AGAAGGAGAGAAAAAAAAAAAAGACAACAUUCCUAGUGAUCUUUCCGUGGGAAUGCGGCAAGGAGUCAGCAGGCAUAGUGAAAAUGGGCGGCGAUGGAUACUCCCAGCACUUGCUGAGCACUGCUACGCCUCAGGACUGGGACAGGACAGAAGAGCUCCUUGGCACUGGAUGCCUCCGGGUCUGGUUGAGAGAGGAAUGGUUAGGAGACUGUUCUGAGGAUACGCAGACAUCAUCCAAAGCUUCCUACAUUCAGAUGAGGACAGAGGUUGGGCCAGAGCUUUGUAAGCUUGUUACCUAAGGAUGGUUCUGACCAUGUAAGCAGAUCACAGAAGAGCCAGCCUUGACAAUGUGCUGAUGGCAACCU